rnacentral:rRNA from 1 species
CUCAGUAACGGCGAGUGAAGCGGCCAGAGCCCAAGAUGGUAAUCUACGUAUUUUAUACGUCGAAUUGUAAUCUAGAGAGUCUAUGCUCAAUUGAUGGUGGCGCAGAAGUGACCUGGAAUGGUCCGCCAAAGAGGGUGAGAGCCCCGUAUGUAGUGCCGCCGUCUAACGAGCAAGUCUUCAAAGAGUCGGGUUGUUUUGUAUUGCAGCCCUAAGUGGGAGAUAAACUUCUUCUAAGGCUAAAUAUAUGUGGGAAACCGAUAGCGAACAAGUACUGUGAAGGAAAGAUGAAAAGCACUUUGGAAAGAGAGUCAAAAGACCUGAAAUCGUUGAGGAGGAAGCGGUAGAGAUGAAUUCUACAUCGAGACACUAGAAAAAUAUUCUAACAAAUCUAUUUGGGAAAAUAUUGACUUGUGUGCCGUUGUGAGACCGGAUGGGGUGACGUGAUCACAGAGGCCUGCUUAUUUUAGCUCAACUUGUUGAACAAAUUUGAAGUGCCGGUGAUUACGUGGCUCGAGGUUGCUUUGUGCGAUCCGGUCAAAAUGGUCUUUACCGGCUCGUCUUGAAACACGAACCAAGGAGUCUAACGUACACGCGAGUGUGCUGGUUCAAAAACCAACACGCGUAAUGAAAGUGAGUGAUGCCAAGCGCAAGCAGCAGCAUCGACCGACCAUGAUUCUUUGAUGAAAGGUUUGAGUAAGAGCGUGUCCGCUAGGACCCGAAAGAUGGUGAACUAUGCCUGCGUAGGGUGAAGCCAGGGGAAACUCUGGUGGAAGCUCGUAGCGAUACUGACGUGCAAAUCGUUCGUCGAACGUGGGUAUAGGGGCGAAAGACUAAUCGAACCAUCUAGUAGCUGGUUCCCUCCGAAGUUUCCCUCAGGAUAGCUGGGACAAUUGCGCAGUUUUAUUAGGUAAAGCGAAUGAUUAGAGGCAUCGGGGUCUACAGGAUCUCGACCUAUUCUCAAACUUUAAAUUGGUAAGAACCCAGGCCUUUCUUAAGUGAGGCGCCGGGGCUCAAUGCGUGUCCUUAGUGGGCCAUUUUUGGUAAGCAGAACUGGCGAUGAGGGAUGCUCCUAACGUCGGGUUAAGGCGCCAAACUGCGCGCUCAUCAGAAACUACAAAGGGUGUUGGUCCAUCCAGACAGCAGGACGGUGGCCAUGGAAGUCGGAACCCGCUAAGGAGUGUGUAACAACUCACCUGCCGAAUGGACUAGCCCCGAAAAUGGAUGGCGCUUAAGCGCGCGGCCGAUACCCGACCAUUGCCUCGAGAGUGAGGAGGCAAUGAGUAGGAGGGCGUGGGCGUUGUUGUGAAGACUCUGGCGUGAGCCUGGUUUGAACAGCGUCUAGUGCAGAUCUUGGUGGUAGUAGCAAUUAUUCAAAUGAGAACUUUGAAGGCCGAAGUGGAGAAGGUUUCCGUGAGAACAGCAAUUGGUCACGGGUGACUCGAUCCUAAGACAUGGGGGAAGUCCCUGUUAAGUGCGCGCUUGCGCGUAGUCGAAAGGGAAUGAGGUUAAUAUUCCUCAAGCUGGAUGUGGGUGUUGUAUGGCAACAUAAGUGAGCCUGGGAACGCCGGCGCGAGCCUCUGGAAGAGUUGUCUUUUCUUUUUAACAGAUUAGCGGCCCUGAAAUGGGAUUAUCCCGAGCUAGGGCGGCACAUCUGGAAGAGCACCUCGCUUUCCGAGGUGUCAGGUGCGCUCGCGACGGUCCAUGAAAACCCAGGUGAGAUAGUUUCACACCAGGUCGUACCCAUAACCGCAGCAGGU